rnacentral:rRNA from 1 species
GACGAACGCUGGCGGCGUGCUUAACACAUGCCAGUCGAACGGAAAGGCCCUGCUUUUGUGGGGUGCUCGAGUGGCGAACGGGUGAGUAACACGUGAGUAACCUGCCCUUGACUUUGGGAUAACUUCAGGAAACUGGGGCUAAUACCGGAUAGGAGCUCCUGCUGCAUGGUGGGGGUUGGAAAGUUUCGGCGGUUGGGGAUGGACUCGCGGCUUAUCAGCUUGUUGGUGGGGUAGUGGCUUACCAAGGCUUUGACGGGUAGCCGGCCUGAGAGGGUGACCGGCCACAUUGGGACUGAGAUACGGCCAAGACUCCUACGGGAGGCAGCAGUGGGGAAUAUUGCACAAUGGGCGGAAGCCUGAUGCAGCAACGCCGCGUGCGGGAUGACGGCCUUCGGGUUGUAACCCGCUUUCGCCUGUGACGAAGCGUGAGUGACGGUAAUGGGUAAAGAAGCACCGGCUAACUACGUG